CAGCACCCUUUUUGCAACUGAGCCUUCUGCUGACUGAACUGAACAGAGUUUGGAGAGGGAGGUGUAAACAAGUGUAUCCGAUGGAGGCCGGGAGGGAAAUCUCUCCGAUACCCAUGGAGGGGAGUGAGAACAUCUACAACAAAUAUCCACGUUCCCAAGUUUAUGUCAAUAUUUUAAAUGCUUACCGUAAGAGCUUUCAUUGUGGGAAUAAAUGCACCAAAUAUUUAUGUGCAUAUACAUUGAGAAGUAACAUUUGUAUGCCCCCUACCUCUGCCUUA